rnacentral:rRNA from 1 species
UGUGGACGGUUCACGAGUGAGAAUGCAGGCAUGAGUAGCGAUACACACGUGAGAAACGUGUGCGCCGAUUGACUAAGGGUUCCUGGGUCAAGCUGAUCUGCCCAGGGUAAGUCGGGACCUAAGGCGAGGCCGACAGGCGUAGUCGAUGGACAACCGGUUGAUAUUCCGGUACCCGCUUUGAAACGCCCAGUACUGAAUCAGGCGAUGCUAAGUCCGUGAAGCCGGCCCGAUCUCUUCGGAGUUGAGGGUAGUGGUGGAGCCGAUGAACCAGACUUGUAGUAGGUAAGCGAUGGGGUGACGCAGGAAGGUAGUCCAGCCCGGGCGGUGGUUGUCCCGGGGUAAGGGUGUAGCCCGUGUGGUAGGUAAAUCCGUCACACGUUAAGGGUGAGACCUGAUGCCGAGCCGAUUGUGGUGAAGUGGAUGAUCCUAUGCUGUCGAGAAAAGCCUCUAGCGAGUUUCAUGGCGGCCCGUACCCUAAACCGACUCAGGUGGUCAGGUAGAGAAUACCGAGGCGUUCGGGUGAACUAUGGUUAAGGAACUCGGCAAAAUGCCCCCGUAACUUCGGGAGAAGGGGGGCCAUCACUGGUGAGAGCACUUGCUGCUUGAGCUGGGGGUGGCCGCAGAGACCAGCGAGAAGCGACUGUUUACUAAAAACACAGGUCCGUGCGAAGCCGUAAGGCGAUGUAUACGGACUGACGCCUGCCCGGUGCUGGAACGUUAAGGGGACCGGUUAGCUGACUUUCGGGUUGGCGAAGCUGAGAACUUAAGCGCCAGUAAACGGCGGUGGUAACUAUAACCAUCCUAAGGUAGCGAAAUUCCUUGUCGGGUAAGUUCCGACCUGCACGAAUGGCGUAACGACUUCUCGACUGUCUCAACCAUAGGCCCGGUGAAAUUGCACUACGAGUAAAGAUGCUCGUUUCGCGCAGCAGGACGGAAAGACCCCGGGACCUUUACUACAGUUUGAUAUUGGUGUUCGGUUCGGCUUGUGUAGGAUAGGUGGGAGACUUUGAAGCGGCCACGCCAGUGGUUGUGGAGUCGUCGUUGAAAUACCACUCUGGUCGUGCUGGAUGUCUAACCUGGGUCCGUGAUCCGGAUCAGGGACAGUGUCUGAUGGGUAGUUUAACUGGGGCGGUUGCCUCCUAAAGAGUAACGGAGGCGCCCAAAGGUUCCCUCAGCCUGGUUGGCAAUCAGGUGUUGAGUGUAAGUGCACAAGGGAGCUUGACUGUGAGACCGACGGGUCGAGCAGGGACGAAAGUCGGGACUAGUGAUCCGGCAGUGGCUUGUGGAAGCGCUGUCGCUCAACGGAUAAAAGGUACCCCGGGGAUAACAGGCUGAUCUUCCCCAAGAGUCCAUAUCGACGGGAUGGUUUGGCACCUCGAUGUCGGCUCGUCGCAUCCUGGGGCUGGAGUCGGUCCCAAGGGUUGGGCUGUUCGCCCAUUAAAGCGGUACGCGAGCUGGGUUUAGAACGUCGUGAGACAGUUCGGUCCCUAUCCGCUGUGCGCGUAGGAAUAUUGAGAAGGGCUGUCCCUAGUACGAGAGGACCGGGACGGACGAACCUCUGGUGUGCCAGUUGUCCUGCCAAGGGCAUGGCUGGUUGGCUACGUUCGGAAAGGAUAACCGCUGAAAGCAUCUAAGCGGGAAGCCUGCUUCGAGAUGAGUAUUCCCACCCUCUUGAGGGGUUAAGGCUCCCAGUAGACGACUGGGUUGAUAGGCCAGAUGUGGAAGCCCGGUAACGGGUGGAGCUGACUGGUACUAAUAGGCCGAGGGCUUGUCCUCAGUUG